GAUGAAGAACGCAGCGAAAUGCGAUAAGUAAUGUGAAUUGCAGAAUUCAGUGAAUCAUCGAAUCUUUGAACGCACCUUGCACUCCUUGGUAUUCCGAGGAGUACGCCUGUUCGAGUGUUAUGAAGCUCUCAAAACGCAAUUGGCUUAAAACCUGAUUGUUGUUUUGGAUUUGAACUUUGCCGUGUUAUAACGGCUGGUUUUAAAAGUAUUAGCUGGUACUAGAACGAAUUGGUUCUACUCAACGUGAUAAUUAUCUGAUCGUUGAGGACAUUCCUUUCACGAGGAAUGGCCAUAGUAAAUUCAAUGGACUGCUUCUAAUCUGGCUUUGAUUCUUUAUUGGAUUAACCACUUUUCAAAUCUGACCUCGAAUCAGGUGGGACUACCCGCUGAACUUAAGCAUAUCAAUAAGCGGAGGA
rnacentral:misc_RNA from 1 species